rnacentral:rRNA from 1 species
CAGUCGCCACGGGAACACGGAGGGGGCUAGCGUUGUUCGGAAUUACUGGGCGUAAAGCGUACGUAGGCGGCUUUGUAAGUUAGAGGUGAAAGCCUGAUGCUCAACAUCAGAAUUGCCUUUAAGACUGCAUCGCUUGAACGUCGGAGAGGUGAGUGGAAUUCCGAGUGUAGAGGUGAAAUUCGCAGAUAUUCGGAAGAACACCAGUGGCGAAGGCGGCUCACUGGACGACUGUUGACGCUGAGGUACGAAAGCGUGGGGAGCAAACAGGAUUAGAGACCCCAGUAGUCCCUGUCUCUUAUAC